CAGUUUUAUGAAGCUGUUGAGGAGAAUGUUACGUGACCGGAUGAGCUGUACUUAAUCUGUUUGGUGUCAUUUCACAUAUUCUCAGAUAUUUUCGACUCAGUAAACGUGCGAUUGAUGAGCUCA